CCACGAUCUCCACGAUCUCCACCUCUUCCACUUCUUCUCCUCCAAACUUCCGAUGACUAUUUAUAUCUAUAAAAAAAUAGUCUUCCCAUCAACAGUAAUCGAUUGCUCUUAGAAAUCAGUUAAUCUUUUCUUUACUGAAGUUUUGCCAAAUACGUCUUCAAGCUCAAGCAAGCGUUUAAAAGCAUCAUUCUCUUUGGCAGAUCAAAAAACAAUAGCAGAUUUUCAUUCGCAAGAGUUCGGUUCAUAACUGAUGAAGAGAGAGUUCGGAAGACUGUUGGUCUAUUGGAGAGUCUUCUUGUUCGACGCAGAGUUCCAAAAACACUAUUCCAUUUUUCUUAUAUCUUGGUAAUUUAUACCACAAUCGGUAGGUAUUUUAGUGCUUAAAUCAAUUUUCCAUUAGUUUGUGGUAAUAGUAAAAUUCUUAGUCUUUUUAACGUCUCAU